AUGUCCACUGUGUUUUGCUAGCAUGCUUGUAGUUGACACGUUGAAGAUGACUAAGAAUUCAGUAUUUGCUCUUUGUGAAAUCCAAAAAGGCUUGCUGCAAGAUAAUUGACCAUGUUUUUAUUUUCUUCUGUCCAACAGCUCCAGCCCAUUCUCCCUCCUACCUUUACCUCUCCUUGGCUUUUUCUAUAGUAAACCAACGGCUCUUUUAAGAGCCACUCCUCUACUGCACUCGCUCUCUCUCUGUCACACACACACUCUCACACACCCCUCUCUAUCUCUUUCUCUCUCUCUCUCUCUCUCUCUCUCUCUCUCUCUCUCUCUCUCUCUAUAUAUAUAUAUAUAUAUAUAUAUAUAUUUGUUUGUUUGUUUACCUGUCUGUUUGUCUGCGUCUGCCUUAAAUGGCUGAUCCGCGGGGCAGUGGGAAGGCAGCGGAUGCUCUUUUCCUAGCAGAAAAGUUACUGGCUGAAUAUAAAGAAAGGGAGGCAAAGAAAAAAUCUGCAUCCACUACACCUGCUGAAGGCAGUAAGCCUACUGUCCGAUGGGUGGAGAGAGAUGCAGAUGGACGUCGAAUCUUAAAAAGAAGCAGAAGUGGAGAGACACGGAAAAAACGUGCAUCGGCUACAGUUUCUGUUGCCCCUAAGGAGGCCUCUACUUCUUUUGAGCCUGCUGAGGAGGUUCCCACAGUGACCCAAGACACCCGUU